GACAGAGGAGCCAAGCGUUGUCCGGAUUGACUGGGCGUAAAGCGCACGCAGGCGGCCUGGCGCGUGGGGUGUGAAAGGUAGCGGCUUAACUGCUACACGCCAUCCCAUACGGCCGGGCUCGAGCCAUGCAGAGGUCCACGGAAUUGCCGGUGUAGCGGUGGAAUGCGUAGAGAUCUGCAAGAAUACCCGUGGCGAAGGCGGACCAGCCUGGGCCGGAUCCGACGC
rnacentral:rRNA from 1 species